UGUUAGAUAACCAUCCACUAUAGUUAUAGCUUUUAUAAUUUGGGAAAGCAAAGUUACUUUGAUUGGAUUUUAUCUCAUUUUAUGUUUAUGGCAAAGCCAAAACACAUCUUCACUAUGUGUCCGGUGUUACAUUUUCAAUAUCACACAAAUAUUUUCUAUAAAUUUUCACAUCUUAAGGGCAUAGCUGAAAGUGCAUUACAAAAAGAUAUAACUCUGGUUGUUGAGGGUUUGUUAGGAGUUGUCUUUACAGUGGCUGCAUUAACAGAUGAAGCAAUGGAUGUUGGUGAGCUUUAAUCUCCGAGAUGUGAUUCUAAUCCACCUAUUAUUAAGUGUAUCGGGAAAACAUCACAUCUCUGUCUCUCAAUGGUUGAUUCAUUUUGGUUGACCAUACUUGAUGCAUUGUCUCUUAUUUUGUCAAGGUCACAAGGAGAGGCUAUCGUGUUGGAAAUACUAAAGGGAUAUCAUGCAUUCACACAGG